UGGAAUUAAACAGCACCACAAUAAUGGUGUUGUACUUACAAAAGAAUUGUAUGCAUAGAUAAACAAAUACAAGAACAGUAUUGAGAAACAACAAUAUAAAUAUGCUAGGGGGAAAGUAACUGAUCAAGCCAAAGAAUAACGUGAUUGAAAGAUCUUGAUUUUUUCACAAACACCAAUAGUUUUUAUAGCUUUUGGAUAGUGGAGUUCUUAAUUGAGUUAAGAUACUGUACAAGUUCAAAGGAGAAUACAUAAAAAGAGGGAUGUCUUCCUAAACAUUUGGACUUAUGAAUAUGAAAUUUAGCCAUUAAAAUUAACAAGUUAAUCAUAUAUCUGUUAUCAAAGUUGAAUUGUUUUUGGUUUUUGUGCAGACCAAACAAAACAUAUUUCCAAAACAGUACAAAUCCUUUAAAUAUAUUUUCUGAAAUAAAAACACAUAAACUCUGCCAAAAAUCUUGUACAAGGUUACAAAACCAAAAAAGAUGUAUAGUAGAUUCCUUGGAAGUUUUACAAAAGCUACAGCUUGUAUCAAUGUCUAAUUUGAAUUUGCUUUGAAGAUAAUCUUUAGAAGGAUAAAUUCUGUGUAUUAAUUUAUAAGAAAUAUCUUUCAUUUUGUUGGUAAUUAAAAACUGAUUUGUUAGGAGGUGGUGGGUAGGUGUAUUGUUGUUCUUGGGUUUUGUUUCCCUUCUUGGCACAGGUAGGCGGGGCGGGGCUUGAUGGCAUUCCGGCACACCUGCGGCGCAUCGGACGUCAUCAGUGAGCGCUUUUAUGGAGCUGAGUCUCGGACGUCUGGUGUUGGAGUAUUGUCGUUUUCAUAAGUGCCUGUCCCGCUGCCUGCUCGCCUGCCUAGUUUUCUGUGUAUUGGCUUCUUUGGAUCGGUGACGGAGAGUUACUUCUUACCAGGCUGUGACCACCGCUACAGCUGUAUUUCUGUGUUGCAAGUAAUUCCGGUGCGUCAUCGGUCCGCCCGCAUACCUCGGCUCCGUCUCAUCCUUUCAGCGCUGCUCUCUGUGCACAUUUUUACCUGUCACUGUAUAUAGCCCCUUCCCUUGUAAAUAUUCCCCCAUCAUUGUAUAUAAAUCUGCAUCACUACUAUCCUGUGCUUGUGUGUGUUUCUGCCACUAAAUCCAUCCGGAUGAAGUCCCCCUAACAUGAUUAGGGAGUCUCCAAACUUCGUUCCACAUAAUACUAUCUGACAGCCGGUUCCAGAAAAAAAUGACAUAUGGUAGCGUGGUUAUAAUACUCUGAAAUAAAGCUCUGAUCGAUUUAUUGUUGUUUUUAGAUUGCUUAGAAAAGCAAAUCUUGCCAACAGAAGUUUGUAUGGGAGAUGCCAACGGCCUGUGGAAUGAAGUGAUAUUAGGUUGAUUCUUAAACUGCAUACAAACCCCUGAUGGUAUUGAUCCAAAUAUUUUUGUAU